UACAGGGGGUGCAAACGUUGCUCGGAAUCAUUGGGCGUAAAGCGCACGUAGGCGGUUCGUUAUGUCGGAUGUGAAAGCCCUUGGCUUAACCGAGGAAGUGCAUCCGAAACUGGCGAGCUAGAGUACGAAAAGAGGAUCGCGGAAUUCCCCGGUGUAGAGGUGAAAAUUCGUAGAUAUCGGGAGGAACACCGGUGGCGAAGGCGGCGAUCUGGGUCGAUACUGACGCUGAGGUGCGAAAGCGUGGGGAGCAAACAGG
rnacentral:rRNA from 1 species